rnacentral:misc_RNA from 1 species
AAACUACUCAUGUGACCAAUCUCAACAUGGCGCGGACAUUCGCCCUCUUUCAUUUUGCUUGCAUUGUUGGAUUGGUUUUCAGCAAUGGGGAGUACCGAGAGAGGGAAACUGUGUCGGUCACAGCAUCUAAUGGCAUGCCAUGGCCCAUGCCUCAGCAGUAUUCUUCUACAAGCGACACAUUUACGAUCAAUCGGAAUGCAUUUAAAUUCAGAGCCACGGGACAGAGCUGCGAUAUUUUGUCAUCCGCUUUCUUCCGCUAUCAGACAAUAAUUUUUGGAUUCAGAGAGGAGGUUCUCAAGUUUCAUCCCAAGUUUAAAGCGGGCUCACUAACAGAGUUGGAUGUCAACGUCAAAAACAAGUGUGAUCAAUACCCUUACCUUGGAAUGGAUGAGUCAUAUAACCUGACCAUUAGUUCAUCUGGAGCCACUCUCAACUCUAACAGUGUCUGGGGUGCCUUGCGGGGCAUAGAAACAUUCAGUCAGCUUGUUCUGCAACGAAGUAAAGAUAUGUUCACAGUGAAUGGUACAACAAUAGUUGACUACCCUCGUUUCCAGCACAGAGGACUUCUAUUGGACACAUCCAGACAUUUCCUGGAUGUUUCCAUCAUCAAACAAAAUCUGCUUGCCAUGUCUCAGAGUAAAUUCAAUGUCUUCCACUGGCACAUUGUUGACGAUCAGUCCUUCCCCUACACUAGUAACAACUUCCCUGAUAUGGCAACUAUGGGAGCAUAUGAUUCUAAACAUAUAUACACUCAGGACCAAAUAGCAGAAAUCAUAGAAUUUGCCAGAAUUCUUGGAAUAAGAGUUAUUCCAGAAUUUGACUCACCAGGCCACUCCCAGUCUUGGGGCAAGUCCAUUAAAGACCUCCUUACAAAGUGUUACUCCAGUGGUAAGCCUAAUGGUCAGUAUGGACCCAUAGACCCAUCCCUGGAGACCUCAUAUGGAUUUCUCUCCAAAUUCUUUGCUGAGAUCGCCAAAGUGUUUCCCGAUCACUACGUUCACCUAGGAGGUGAUGAAGUCAACUUUGACUGUUGGAAAAGUAAUCCAAACAUCACUGCUUUUAUGAAACAAAAGGACUUUGGAACUGAUUAUGCAAAAUUGGAGGAAUAUUACAUGCAAAGACUGUUAGAAAUUGUGAGUGGGGUCAAGAAAGGUUACAUGAUCUGGCAGGAGGUAGUAGACAAUGGAGCCAAGAUUUCAAAGGAGACGAUUGUAGAGAUUUAUAAGAACGAGGCAUACAUGUAUCAUGUAUUCUUGACAACCUUGAAAGGAUACAGGACAGUACUUCAAGCAUGCUGGUAUUUAGACUUAAUCAAAUAUGGAGUCCAGUGGCCGGCUUUUUAUUCCUGUGACCCCCAUGAUUUUUUUGGUGAAUCCAGAUACGAUCGUUGAAGUUUGGAAGAAUGGAUUCCACACAGAAUUGAGCAUAAUUACAUUCCGUGGUUACAAAACUCUCUUGUCUUCGUGUUGGUAUCUUAGUGACAUCUCCUAUGGAAUAGACUGGCCGAAAUAUUAUAAUUGUGAUCCACACAACUUUAUUGGUUAGGCCAGACACAGUCGUUGAGGUUUGGAAGGGAGGCUAUCAAAACGAGAUGAGCAAAAUUACUUCCCUUGGCUAUAAAACUCUCUUGUCUUCCUGUUGGUAUCUUAACUACAUUUCCUACGGAUCAGACUGGCCAAAAUAUUACAAUUGUGAGCCCUAUAACUUCAAUGGUACUGCUGAGCAAAAGAAGCUUGUGAUUGGAGGAGAGACAUGUAUGUGGGGCGAGUAUGUGGACAACACUAACGUCCUCUCCAGGACGUGGCCACGGGCCUCUGUGGUAGCUGAGCGUUUGUGGAGUGCCCAGAAUGUAAAGGAUGCCAACGCUGCAGCACCACGACUGGAGGAACACCGCUGUAGAAUGAUCAAGAGGGGUUUCCCUGCUGAGGCAGUGAAUGGACCUGGCUACUGUUUCCAGGAGUACUCUAUACACGAACCUGUGUAAAUACUAGAGAGAGAAUGGAACCUAAGAGGACACAAUUUACCUGUCUGUUGACAAGAAAGACACAUUUUUACAUGAAUACUUAAUAAAGGGAGUUUGUCAGUUCUGAUAUAUACGCAAACGUAAAUUUAGUUUCUUUUUUUUUUUAAGUGUUUACUCUCCUUUUCUCAGUUUCUUGGACAGUUUUGAUGAGCUCAAAUUAUUAUUGAUGUCCAUCUGAACUUAAAUUUGUCAAGAUACUUAAACCCUUGAAGAACACCAACUUAUGUGUUUAAAUAAUAUACAUAUAUAUAGUCAUUAUAGAGAUUACUUUAUGUAUUUGUAAAUAUAUACUUCUCAAUGUAUUGAUGUAAUAUUCUGUGAUUUUUUUUACUGUGAUUUUCAUGUAUUCAUAUUCUCAUUUACCAGGUAUUUAACAAAUCUUGCAAAAAAAGGGCUUGUUGUCACUCAUUUUUGUUCAUGUUUACAAUAGUCGCUGAAAGAGUGAAAGAACAUAUUUUUUUUUGAAAUGGUGUUUAAUGUGAAAUAGUUAUAUAUUUUUAAUGCAUUUACUUGCACAUACAUGUACAUGCAAUCAGAAUGUCUUACUGCCUAUUAGAAAUAGUUGCUGUAAGCUUGUAGAUAUAAAUAACUGCACAGUUUGACAUGUUAUUUUUUUUAUUAUGAAAACCUUGCAUGCUUUGUAUAUUAAAAUUGCGUAAAUUGUGUAGAUUUCUUUAAACAUUCCAUUCAGUAUGAUUUUUCUCUAUCUGGAAUUAUAAAUGCUAGUAGAAGAGAAAAUCCAAGAUUUAAUUCCAUUACUAAGACAUUCAUUUCUAACAUGGUUUGAAAUAAGCUUUAUUUGCAUUUUGUCAACUACUCUAAACUACUUGAGAGAUGUUUCAUUGAAAUUGUGUUUAAACAUUUUUUGUUUCUGAAUAGUGCUAAUAAAUUGAAAGUUCUUUAUACACAUGCACAUC